rnacentral:piRNA from 1 species
UACCAGGUCCAGUUUCUUUGACAGGUGAGC